CCUUUGUACACACCGCCCGUCGCUACUACCGAUUGAACGGCUCAGUGAGGCCUUCGGACUGGCCCAGGGAGGUGGGCAACUACCACCCAGGUGCCGGAAAGUUGUACGAACUCGGUCGUUUAGAGG
rnacentral:rRNA from 1 species